ACUCCUACGGGAGGCAGCAGUAGGGAAUCUUCCACAAUGGGCGCAAGCCUGAUGGAGCAACACCGCGUGAGUGAAGAAGGGUUUCGGCUCGUAAAGCUCUGUUGUUAAAGAAGAACACGUAUGAGAGUAACUGUUCAUACGUUGACGGUAUUUAACCAGAAAGUCACGGCUAACUACGUGCCAGCAGCCGCGGUAAUACGUAGGUGGCAAGCGUUAUCCGGAUUUAUUGGGCGUAAAGAGAGUGCAGGCGGUUUUCUAAGUCUGAUGUGAAAGCCUUCGGCUUAACCGGAGAAGUGCAUCGGAAACUGGAUAACUUGAGUGCAGAAGAGGGUAGUGGAACUCCAUGUGUAGCGGUGGAAUGCGUAGAUAUAUGGAAGAACACCAGCGGCGAAGGCGGCUACCUGGUCUGCAACUGACGCUGAGACUCGAAAGCAUGGGUAGCGAACAGGAUUAGAUACCCUGGUAGGAUAGCG
rnacentral:rRNA from 1 species